rnacentral:rRNA from 1 species
GACAGAGGUCCCGAGCGUUAGGCGGAAUCACUGGGCUUAAAGCGUGUGUAGGUGGAUGCCUAAGUACCUUGUGAAAUCCCACGGCUUAACCGUGGAAUUGCUUGGUAUACUGGGUGUCUUGAGCCACUUAGGGGCAACCGGAACAAAUGGUGGAGCGGUGAAAUGCGUAGAUAUCGGAAGGAACGCCGGUGGCGAAAGCGGCGCGCUGGACCUCUACUGACGCUGAGGCGCGAAAGCCAGGGGAGCGAACGGG